AAAUUGAAGAGUUUGAUCAUGGCUCAGAUUGAACGCUGGCGGCAGGCCUAACACAUGCAAGUCGAACGGUAACAGGAAACAGCUUGCUGUUUCGCUGACGAGUGGCGGACGGGUGAGUAA
rnacentral:rRNA from 1 species